rnacentral:rRNA from 1 species
CCUACGGGAGGCAGCAGUGAGGAAUAUUGGUCAAUGGCCGUAAGGCUGAACCAGCCAAGUCGCGUGAAGGAAGAAGGAUCUAUGGUUUGUAAACUGCUUUUAUAGGGGAAUAAAGGUAUCCACGUGUGGUUAUUUGUAUGUACCCCAUGAAUAAGCACCGGCUAAUUCCGUGCCAGCAGCCGCGGUAAUACGGAGGAUCCGAGCGUUAUCCGGAUUUAUUGGGUUUAAAGGGUGCGUAGGUUGUAUUUUAAGCCUGCGGUGAAAGUUUGUGGCUCAACCAUAGAAUUGCGGUUGAAACUGGAAGGCUUGAGUGUGCUGGAGGUAGGCGGAAUGCGUGGUGUAGCGGUGAAAUGCAUAGAUAUCACGAAGAACUCCGAUUGCGAAGGCAGCUUACUAAGCCAUAACUGACACUGAAGCACGAAAGCGUGGGGAUCAAACAGGAUUAGAUACCCUUGUAGUC